rnacentral:rRNA from 1 species
AUUGAACGCUGGCGGCAGGCCUAACACAUGCAAGUCGAGCGGAUGAAGGGAGCUUGCGCCUGGAUUCAGCGGCGGACGGGUGAGUAAUGCCUAGGAAUCUGCCUUGUAGUUGGGGAUAACGUCCGGAAACGGGCGCUAAUACCGCAUACGUCCUGAUGGAGAAAGGGGGGGAUCUUCGGACCUCACGCUAUCAGAUGAGCCUAGGUCGGAUUAGCUAGUUGGUGGGGUAACGGCCUACCAAGGCGACGUUCCGUAACUGGGCUGAGAGGAUGAUCAGUCACACUGGAACUGAGACACGGUCCAGACUCCUACGGGAGGCAGCAGUGGGGAAUAUUGGACAAUGGGCGAAAGCCUGAUCCAGCCAUGCCGCGUGUGUGAAGAAGGUCUUCGGAUUGUAAAGCACUUUAAGUUGGGAGGAAGGAAAGUAAGUUAAUACCUGGCUGUUUUGACGUUACCAACAGAAUAAGCACCGGCUAACUUCGUG